rnacentral:rRNA from 1 species
AUUGAACGCUGGCGGCAUGCCUUACACAUGCCAGUCGAACGGCAGCACGGGUGCUUGCCCCUGGUGGCGAGUGGCGAACGGGUGAGUAUUACAUCGGAACAUGUCCUGUAGUGGGGGAUAGCCCGGCGAAAGCCGGAUUAAUACCGCCUACGAUCUACGGAUGACAGCGGGGGACCUUCGGGCCUCGCGCUAUACGGUUGGCCGAUGGCUGAUUAGCUAGUUGGUGGGGUAAAGGCCUACCAAGGCAACGAUCAGUAGCUGGUCUGAGAGGACGACCAGCCACACUGGGACUGAGACACGGCACAGACUCCUACGGGAGGAAGCAGUGGGGAAUUUUGGACAAUGGGCGAAAGCCUGAUCCAGCAAUGCCGCGUGUGUGAAGAAGGCCUUCGGGUUGUAAAGCACUUUUGUGCGGAAAGAAAACCUUGGCUCUAAUACAGUCGGGGGAUGACGGUACCGGAAGAAUAAGCACCGGCUAACUACGUG